CCUACGGGAGGCAGCAGUGGGGAAUAUUGCACAAUGGGGGGAACCCUGAUGCAGCGACGCCGCGUGAGUGAAGAAGUACUUCGGUAUGUAAAGCUCUGUCAGCAGGGAAGAAAAUGACGGUACCUGACCAAGAAGCCCCGGCUAACUACGUGCCAGCAGCCGCGGUAAUACGUAGGGGGCAAGCGUUAUCCGGAUUUACUGGGUGUAAAGGGAGCGUAGACGGCAGGGCAAGUCUGGAGUGAAAGGCGGGGGCUCAACCCGCGGACUGCUCUGGAAACUGCGAGGCUGGAGUGCAGGAGGGGUAAGUGGAAUUCGUAGUGUAGCGGUGAAAUGCGUAGAUAUUAGGAGGAACACCGGUGGCGAAGGCGGCUUACUGGACUGUAACUGACGUUGAGGCUCGAAGGCGUGGGGAGCAAACAGGAUUAGAUACCCUUGUAGUC
rnacentral:rRNA from 1 species